CUCUGCCAUGCCAAUUAGGAUCAGUUCUGAUUUUUCUUCCUGAGGAGAACACGAGCAUUUGGGACAGAAACCAAGCAGCCUGCCUGACUUCACUGAACAGCCAGGUCCCAAACAGCUGAUGCUGCAUUAUCAGCAAGGACCACAGCUGAUUACUGGCUCAUUAGUUAUCUCUCCUCUGGCCAUUUAGAGCAAAAUGAACAGAAAAUGCUCAUGGUCUCUGAAGAGUUGCUCCUUCCCAAAUUCAAGGCUCGCCUCCAUUUGCUGUCUUCCAACACCUGGAUGGCAACCUGCCUGGACCUGACCUCCGCUAUGGAGUUAGGAUAAGGAAGUUCACAGAGUACUUCUUGCAAGUAACUCAGAACCAUGGAAACUGCGAAAACAAAACCCAAAGAGCUUUCAAUGGUGUUGACAGACAACUCCAGAUUGUUAUCCAGGACAUGGUUUACAACCAAAGUGCAAGAGAUCACCAGACAUAUGCAAAAUACAUCGCAACUUCCGAGGAAAAAACUUAUCAGAGUCAGGGCCAUUACUGGAGCUCAUUAGAAUAUGAAAACCCAAAAUACCAUGACUGAGCCUUGACUUCUUUGCACUCUGCCAGUUGCUCCUACAUGGAAAGUCUCUGUACCCAUUUUAAACUGUGGAGAGAAAAAGAAAAAAGAAGUGGGUUUAACAAAGGGAGGGGAAAAAAAAAGUCCUGGAUCUAUGGCCUCAUGGUGAAAGUUUCCAGAGGUUCCAAAACCUGACAAAUUAAAUUACCUUCAUAUCACAGACACUCAACCUGCCUGAAAAACUAAUGCUUUAAACAGAAUACCUGGAAGAUAACCAAAUUCAGGUAGCCCCCAGUCAACCUUCCUGGUCACCAUUUGCAUUGCUGGGGUAGUUUGAAGCCAGAAAUUUAGAAGUUUUGCUGUGCAGCUGCUUGAGGAUCAGGCCUCAUCACCAAAUGCUCACUUUAUCACUUCGAUAAGCCAGGAGAGUCAGCAUCCCUCCCUGCCCACGCCAACCUGACACACCUGGACUACACAUUUCAUUUCCCUCACAUCCAACCAGCAACAACAGCCUCUUGAGGGGUUUUUAUUUGUAAGAUAGACCAAUCUCGUUCUCUCCUUACCCCCUCUCUGGUAAAGGGGGUUAGACUCUGGGUAGGGCAAUUCUUUUGUUCAGGGCUUGUAGAGCGUGGGCUGGUUAAAGGCUGCA
rnacentral:lncRNA from 1 species